rnacentral:misc_RNA from 1 species
ACACAAACCCUAAACACACUGGUUUCAUCAUUUCAAUUCUGAAGUGGUGUCUCCUUUUAAAACCAAACCUAGUGAACCUGUCAACGCCGUAAGUACGGGGUGAUUCCUGCAGGCGUUCGUUUUACCUCUCCAUCCUUUUUCAAUUUAUAGUUCACCCAACCCCAAAUCCUUCAUUGUAAGGUGAAAAUAUAUCUGACUGAGAAAACAAAUGUGUUGCGACCCAGCACAAUAAAUACUAACAUAUUAUA